rnacentral:lncRNA from 1 species
AUUUCUUGGGCCGCUCCCGCGGCAUAUGGAGGUUCCCAGGCUAGGGGUCAAAUCGGAGCUGUAGCCACCAGCCUACGCCAGAGCCACAGCAAAGCGGGAUCCGAGCCUCGUCUGCAAUCUACACCACAGCUCACGGCAACACCGGAUCGUUAACCCACUGAGCAAGGGCAGGGACCGAACCCGCAACCUCAUGGUUCCUAGUCGGAUUCGCUAACCACUGCGCCACAACGGGAACUCCCCGUUUUCUUUCAAGAAUGUUCAUUUGGGGUCUGUCUGGUGUUUCUUCCUGAUCAGACUGGUUGUGGAUCUCCAGCUGUAACAGCACAGAGUGAGGUCCCAAAAGGCCCUGUAUUUGUGAUAUAUGUUGCAUAUGAUUUUCUGCCUUUAUUUUUUUUUAAGAUACUAUUGUGGUAAAAAAAUCACCGGAGAUCCUACCCAAGUCUGUCUUUUGUCUUUAGACUUCGUAGUGCUCUUGCCAUGCAGAGGUGUAUGUUUAAGAAAUCAGAUGCAUUGGCUUCUCUUUUACUGCCUCUGGCCUGUGAGUCAGAGGUGGCACGCCUUCCCCCGCCCUGGUCUCAGGGAGGUUCCCUCAGGUUCCCUUCUGGUAUUUGCCUGAUGAGGGUGAGGAACAGGCCCCACCUGCUCAGGCGCACAGUGAGCCAGGACUCAGGCUGGACACCGCCGCCCCCAGGUCUGUGCACGUGAGUUAACAUGACCACCGGGCUGGAGGCCCAAAGAGUGAGGGGAACCAGCUCAAGGAAUUUGCACAUGAACUUGGAUGGAAGCAGUUGAAGCCUGAGGGUGUGGGGCGGGCUGGCUCGGUCGGGGGGUGGAGGGCGCAUCUCAGAAUGGCUAAAGGGGUAGUGUCGGGUUUGGGGGGGGCCUUGUGCUUUGCAGCGUAUACUUUAAAGCCCAGCAGCCUUGGGGAAAUGAGCCCUGUGGGUGGUAGGGAUGGAAAAUGGCGCAGCCGCAGUGCGGGCUGGUGGUUUCUCCCGAGGUUGAAGGGACCCCGCCUAGGCGCAGUCCCACGUGUGGCAAUUCCACCCGAGGUAACCUCCCCAAAGAGGUGAGAUCAGGUGUUCAAACCAGUUCUCGAAUGUUCACACCAGCGGAUUCACUCUAGCCAAAUGGCAGCAACAACUCAAAUGCCGGUCAGUGCAUGAAUGGAUAAAAAAUGUGGUCUGUCCAUACAAUGGAGCAUUGCAUUAACUCCGCCUUAGGAAGGAAUGAAGGUCUGAUACGUGCUACAGCUUGAACCUGGAAAACAUGCUCAGGCAAGAAGCCAGACACAAAAGGCCGUGUCUUGUAGCAUCCCGUUUAUCUGAAAAGUCCCGAAGAGGUAAACCCAUAGUGACAGGAACAUGAAUGGUUGCCAGGAGCUGGGCGGAAGGGAUCCGGGAGUGAGUGGCUGCUGAAUGGAUACGAGGGUUUUUAAGGCUGAUGGAAAGUUUUGGAACAAAAUAGAUGCGAAAGUUGCACAAUGUCAUGAAUGUACCAGGUGCGCUUGAAUCAUACACUUUGAAAUGGUUUAAAUGGUCAUUUGUGUAUUAUGCGUAUUUUGCCACAAUAAAAAACAGCCCACAUUUGCAAAAAAGAAAAUGCAUUCACUUUAAAAACGUGGAUGCCGGGUACUGGAGUGGGAUGCAGACGUGGGGAGGAAGGCAGUGAGGCUGGGGAAACCCACCCACCCUGGGCUCGCAGAGUCCUUGUGUAGGAUCACAGUCUGCCCAGACCUGUGGGCUCUGUCCCCGACAUUGUGUUGGGUCCUGGGGGGAGGCCUUCAACGAAACCCUUGCAUCUGUGUAAGCUUGUCUCCUCCCCAAUAAAAUGGAGACCUCAGGCGACUCAUAAAGUCACUUAGAACAGGGCCAGCUCUGUUCUAAGUACUUGACAUGUUUUAACAUUGAAUUCUUAUGUCAACACGAUGAAUAGGCACACUUCUUUUUUUUUUUUUUUUAACAGAUGAGCCAAUUGAGGGACAGAGAGGUUAAGUUAUGCGUCUUAGGUCUCACCGCCAGCAAGGAACAGAACUGGAAUUUGAACACCGAGCUGGCUCAAGUCCGUACGCUUAACCAGUUUGCAGUAAUCCUGAGCACUCUCCGUGUCAGGCAGUUCACAGGCCUGAACACAGGGGCUCCUCACAACUGUCGCCAUUUUACAGGUUAUUACAAGAUACUGAAUAUAGUCCCUUGUGCUAUCUGGUAGGUCUUUGCAGCAUUAAUCACCAACUAGGAUUAUUCUCACCACGAAACACUUUCCAGACACCAGGAAGAAACAUGAUCACCUCAGCGACAUAAACAAGUCUACCCUCCCUGGUUUUGCGCAUUUGGUUUACAAGUGUUUUUUUAAACACACACUUGUACUGCUGGCUUCAGAUUUUCAUCUGUGGAACAUUCUAGAAAAUAGACAUAACAUGUACUUCACUGCUGUACCCUGAAUGAGUUACUGCCUUUAAAAAACAUGUUUACGAGUUCCCGUUGUGGUUCAGCAGGUUAAGAACUCGACCAGUGGGAGUUCCCAUUGUGGCUCAGUGGUAAUAAUACUGACUACUACCCAGCAGGACAUAGGUUCAGUCCCUGGCCUAGCUCAGUGGGUUAAUGAUCUGGCGUUGCCGUGAGCUGUGGUGUAGGUAGGUCACAGACAUGGCUCGGAUCCCAUGUUGCUGUAGCUGAGUCGUAUGUCAGUGGCUAUGGCUCCAAUUCAUCCCCUGGCCUGGGAACCUCCAUAUGCCAUGGGUAUGCCCCCCCCAAAGGACAAAAGACAAUAAAAGACAUGUUUAAAGGUCAUGGAAUAUGUAGCAUGCGUACUGAAAUAUGCCCCAGACACCAUUUAACAAAUAAAGGUAACAAACUGUGAUAAUACGAUCCAUCAUGUGUCCCACAAACUCCUCCCCCCACCAUGGUAAAUAAUACCCCCUUUUGUGAUAAACGCGUCUUUGCUUUUCUAUAGAUAUGUAAGUUUAUAACCAAAUUAUGCAUCUCUUGACAGCUGUAGAGUGGACUGUUUUUGAACAUGAUAUUAAUGCAAUGUUCCCAUACGGAUUAUUUUGCUGUGUGGCUGUCUUUUAGGAA